rnacentral:rRNA from 1 species
GCUGAACGCUGGCGGCGUGCCUAAUACAUGCAAGUCGAGCGAACAGACUAGGUGCUUGCUCUUCUGACGAUAGCGGCGGACGGGUGAGUCACACGUGGAUAACCUCCCUAUAAGACUGGGACAACUUCGGGAAACCGGAGCUAAUACCGGAUAAUAUAUUGAACCGCAUGGUUCAAUAGUGAAAGACGGGUUUGCUGUCCCUUAUAGAUGGAUCCGCCCCGCAUUAGCAAGUUGGUAAGGGACCGGCUUACCAAGGCAACGAUGCGUAGCCGACCUGAGUGUGAUCGGCGACACUAGAACAGAGCCACGGUCCCCACUCCUACGGGAGGCAGCAGCAGGGAAUCUUCCGCCAUGGACGAAAGCCUGACGAAGCAAAGCCGCGUGAGUCGUGAUGGUCUUCGGAUCGUAAAACUCUGUUAUGAGGAAAAAGCGAAUGUAUAAGUAACUAUGCACGUCUUGACGGUACCUAAUCAGAAAGCCCCGGCUAACUACGUG